rnacentral:rRNA from 1 species
CCCCGCCCGAACACGGUAGUUAAGCUUCUCUGCGCCAAUGGUAGUUGGGGGCUUCCCCCUGCGAGAGUAGGUCGCUGCCGGGC